AAAUUGAAGAGUUUGAUCAUGGCUCAGAUUGAACGCUGGCGGCAGGCCUAACACAUGCAAGUCGAACGGUAACAGGAAGCGCUUGCUGCUUCGCUGACGAGUGGCGGACGGGUGAGUAAUGUCUGGGAAACUGCCUGAUGGAGGGGGAUAACUACUGGAAACGGUAGCUAAUACCGCAUAACGUCGCAAGACCAAAGAGGGGGACCUUCGGGUCUCUUGCCAUCGGAUGUGCCCAGAUGGGAUUAGCUUGUUGGUGGGGUAACGGCUCACC
rnacentral:rRNA from 1 species